rnacentral:rRNA from 1 species
GACGAACGCUGGCGGCGUGCUUAACACAUGCAAGUCGAACGGAAAGGCCCUGCUUUUGUGGGGUGCUCGAGUGGCGAACGGGUGAGUAACACGUGAGUAACCUGCCCUUGACUUUGGGAUAACUUCAGGAAACUGGUGCUAAUACCGGAUAGGAGCUCCUGCUGCAUGGUGGGGGUUGGAAAGUUUCGGCGGUUGGGGAUGGACUCGCGGCUUAUCAGCUUGUCGGUGGGGUAGUGGCUUACCAAGGCUUUGACGGGUAGCCGGCCUGAGAGGGUGACCGGCCACAUUGGGACUGAGAUACGGCCCAGACUCCUACGGGAGGCAGCAGUGGGGAAUAUUGCACAAUGGGCGGAAGCCUGAUGCAGCAACGCCGCGUGCGGGAUGACGGCCUUCGGGUUGUAAACCGCUUUCGCCUGUGACGAAGCGUGAGUGACGGUAAUGGGUAAAGAAGCACCGGCUAACUACGUG